UCACAAGACACUGAAAACCCGGGUCAGGAGGUUAGGGGAAGAAAUCUCAGGGGAAAAUGGAAGACAGAGGUCAGCGCAAACAAAGGCACUCAUGAUCAAAAGCCAGCAGACCGAAGAGCACCAAAAUCCAUUGGGAGUAACGGUCUACUCAAGAAUCACGGUUGCUUCCAAGCAGGCCAGCAGCCAAACUGGAGGCAAGGCAACCCAGCUGGUUGACAGUGAAGAUUUGGAGCCCAGCACGCCAAGUUGG